ensembl:misc_RNA Metazoa_SRP Metazoan signal recognition particle RNA
GCCAGGCGUGGUGGCGCACACCUGUAAUCCCAGCUACUCAGGAGGCUGAGGUGGGAGAAUUGCUUGGGCCAAGGAGGCAGAGGUUGCAGUGAGCUGAGAUUGAGUCACUGCAGCCUAGCCUGGGUGACAGAGCAAGACUUCAUCUCAA